GAAUAAGCACCGGCUAACUCCGUGCCAGCAGCCGCGGUAAUACGGAGGGUGCAAGCGUUAUCCGGAUUCACUGGGUUUAAAGGGUGCGUAGGCGGGCAGGUAAGUCAGUGGUGAAAUCCUAGAGCUCAACUCUAGAACUGCCAUUGAUACUAUCUGUCUUGAAUAUUGUGGAGGUAAGCGGAAUAUGUCAUGUAGCGGUGAAAUGCUUAGAUAUGACAUAGAACACCUAUUGCGAAGGCAGCUUACUACGCAUAUAUUGACGCUGAGGCACGAAAGCGUGGGGAUCAAACAGGAUUAGAUACCCUGGUAGUCCACGCCCUAAACGAUGGAUACUCGACAUACGCGAUACACUGUGUGUGUCUGAGCGAAAGCAUUAAGUAUCCCACCUGGGAAGUACGUCCGCAAGGAUGAAACUCAAAGGAAUUGGCGGGGGU
rnacentral:rRNA from 1 species